AUCCAGUUAACUAGCCGACAGUGGUGAUAAUUUAUUAACUAAUGACUGAUUUAAAAUUUGGUGUUUUUCUUCUUUUAGGCUAAACUGCCAACAUCAGAGAUAGCAUCUGCAAUCAAUGAGUUUAGAUCCCGUCACCUCUCUGAACUGACUGAGCUGUGUGAAGCUAGUGGAAGUUCGCUAGGUUACGGAUAUUCUCGAGUCAUGAGCAAACCCAAAUCCCAACCGGUUGACUCUUCCGAUGAUAACCAAGCCAUUGAGGGGACACUGGCUAUAUAAAUUUGCAGCUAAUACAACCAAGAGUAGAGAAGGCAACAAAACUGUAUAGUUUCAUUACAUUCUCACUAGUGUAAUUUGUAUAGAAUUUUUGGGCAAAAAUAUCAAAGGUAAAUACUUCUUUUUCA